CCGCAACGAGCGCAACCCCUAUUGUUAGUUGCCAUCAUUCAGUUGGCACUCUAGCGAGACUGCCGGUAAUAAACCGGAGGAAGGUGGGGAUGACGUCAAAUCAUCAUGCCCCUUAUGACCUGGGCUACACACGUGCUACAAUGGUUGGUACAACGAGUUGCGAGUCGGUGACGGCGAGCUAAUCUCUUAAAGCCAAUCUCAGUUCGGAUUGUAGGCUGCAACUCGCCUGCAUGAAGUCGGAAUUGCUAGUAAUGGCAGGUCAGCAUACUGCCGUGAAUACGUUCCCGGGCCUU
rnacentral:rRNA from 1 species